GAUGAACGCUGGCGGCGUGCCUAAUACAUGCAAGUCGAGCGAACAGACGAGGAGCUUGCUCCUCUGACGUUAGCGGCGGACGGGUGAGUAACACGAGGCUAACUUACCUAUAAGACUGGGAUAACUUCGGGAAACCGGAGCUAAUACCGGUCAUUAUAUUGAACCGCAUGGUUCAUUAGUCAUAGACGGAUUUGCUGUCCCUAAUAGAUGGAUCCACGUUGGAUUAGCUAGUUGGUAAGGUAACGGCCUACCAAGGCAACGAUGCGUAGCUGAUCUGAGAGGGUGAUCGGUCACACUGGAACUGAGACACGGUCCAGACUCCUACGGGAGGCAGCAGUUGGGAAUCUUCGGCAAUGGGCGAAAGCCUGACACAGCCACGCCGCGUGUGUGAUGAAGGUCUUCGGAUCGUAAAACUCUUUAAGUCGGGAAGAACACAUGUAAAAGCAACUAUUCAUGUGUUGACGGUACCUAAACAGAAAGCCACGGCUAACUACGUG
rnacentral:rRNA from 1 species